rnacentral:rRNA from 1 species
AUUGAACGCUGGCGGCAUGCCUUACACAUGCAAGUCGAACGGCAGCACGGGUGCUUGCACCUGGUGGCGAGUGGCGAACGGGUGAGUAAUACAUCGGAACGUACCUUAUCGUGGGGGAUAACGCAGCGAAAGCUGUGCUAAUACCGCAUACGCCCUGAGGGGGUAAGCGGGGGAUCGCAAGACCUCGCGCGAUUAGAGCGGCCGAUGCCUGAUUAGCUUGUUGGUGGGGUAAAAGCCCACCAAGGCGACGAUCAGUAGCUGGUCUGAGAGGACAAUCAGCCACACUGGGACUGAGACACGGCCCAGACUCCUACGGGAGGCAGCAGUGGGGAAUUUUGGACAAUGGGGGCAACCCUGAUCCAGCAAUGCCGCGUGAGUGAAGAAGGCCUUCGGGUUGUAAAGCUCUUUUGUCAGGGAAGAAACACCGGCUCUAACACAGUCCGGGAAUGACGGUACCUGAAGAAUAAGCACCGGCUAACUACGUGCCAGCCGCCGCCGUAA